rnacentral:rRNA from 1 species
AGGGCACCACCAGGAGUGGAGCCUGCGGCUUAAUUUGACUCAACACGGGAAAACUCACCCGGCCCGGACACUGGAAGGAUUGACAGAUUGAGAGCUCUUUCUUGAUUCAGUGGGUGGUGGUGCAUGGCCGUUCUUAGUUGGUGGAGUGAUUUGUCUGGUUAAUUCCGAUAACGAACGAGACUCUAGCCUAUUAAAUAGAUCGUUGGCUUACAAACGCCGGCGAGACUUCUUAGAGGGACAGGCGGCGAUUCAGCCGCACGAAACAGAGCAAUAACAGGUCUGUGAUGCCCUUAGAUGUCCGGGGCCGCACGCGCGCUACACUGAAGUGAUCAGCGUGCAUUUUGAAACCUACUCUGUCAAGAGUGGGGAACCCAAUGAACCUUCUUCGUGAUUGGGAUAGGGGAUUGUAAUUAUUCCCCUUGAACGAGGAAUUCCCAGUAAGCGCGAAUCAUAAGUUUGCGCUGAUUACGUCCCUGCCCUUUGUACACACCGCCCGUCGCUACCACCGAUUGAAUGUUU